AGUUUUUCGUUUUGGAAACAAAUGACUUUGAAAGUCCUUAUAAAAGGUUCGACUCCUUUAAAAACUU
rnacentral:tRNA from 1 species